UGCUGCUUAGUGUUAUCGUGUCUUUGCUAUUUCACUCCACAGAGAGGUAGAUAGUGAAGGAAGUGGUGCUAUUUGUUAGCAUGUACGAGUCUGAUUCCAUCUUCCCUGUAACACUGUUUGCUGAGAAUUGCGCAACCGCUCUUUUACUCGCUUCUAAGGACUUUUGGCAACAUCAGCUGCAAUCGAUUUGCUGGGGUUUAGGGUUGUCGUAUUGGGUUUGUCAUCAACAAGGAGAAGGAAGGCAAUUCUGGGUUAUUGGCUAAACCUUGAGGUGGAGGUGCGUUCAGAAAAGCAGGAGAGCUGCAGCUUCUGGUAUUUGAGUUGUGGCCUGAAACAUCCGAUUCCAGAGUCAUUGUUCAUGCAUGUAGACAUAGAUUGCUUCUACGUUCAAGGUUCCUUAAUUCCCCUCUUUCAAUUUCUCUAUUGUAAUUGUAAAUUGUCCCUAUUAGGGUUUGCAAUUGAGUAAAAUGGUAGGGAUGAAAUUCCAAUUUAAGAGAUGCUCACCUCGGUUUUCUGGUAUAAACAAUAUCUCCCGCACUAUUCUCUUUCGAGAAGCCUCUAUCAACAUUAAGCUUUCCCCUUAACUGACAUCGGAACUACCCAUUACUGUCAGGAUCAAUCAAUAUUGCUGUCAAACUGAGACUCAUGAUAAUCUGAGAAGACAAAUUUGUGUUCACAGCAAAUACACAAGAAGGUGCAAGCGCUGCUUUGAGUCUUGCCAGGACAAUUCUUCGAUUCUCCACUGUGAGGGUGUUCCCUUCUGAGAUAGCUAUUGCACCUGUUAACCCAACAUUCUUGCCUCCAACUGAAGAUGAACCUGAGAUGUGUGCAAGAAUAUAUAUACUUUACAAAUAUUGACAAGAAGAGUGUGUAAUGCCAAGAGGUAUAUGUAAGGGUAGGAGCAGCUCAAGUUCAGAAAAUUAGUAAAUAUUCAAUUUAAGAGCAAUGAACUUGAAACUUUCCAGAUCCUAAGUUGACAUGCUAAGGUACAACAUACUAAAAUUUCAAGCAAAUUGGAGUUCAGCAAACAUGGCAAAACAUGGAUGGAAACAGACUGAACUGUGCAGUUUUCUUCAGAGUUUUUGUAACAACCUGGAAUGUAAGAGGGAAAUCUCUCCAUAGUGACCUUAAUCUGCACGAUUUUCUGCAGCUUGAUAAUCCAUCAGACAUAUAUGUCUUGGGUUGACUUCGAUAAGAUUGGACAAGGUGGUUUUGGGGCUGUUUACUAUGCUGAGCUGACAAGCAAGAGAAAGGGACGAGACGAAACAAAAAGAGAGAGAGACAAGAGAACAGGCAAGAACGAAAAGAAGGAGAAGAGAGAGACGGGAAGCUCUUGCUUAGAUUGUACUUUUUGCAUUGUGAACAGCUCCAGUUUUUAACAAGAAGAUCAGCUACUUCGUCUAUGUAAUUUUGCUGAUGGAGAUCUUCAACAUCAGUGGUAACUCAUUUCAUAUAAGAACAUGUUGUAGACAAUGUCUAUUGGAAGCAUGUUGUGCACCACACUGUAGCAUGUAAGGUUGUACUGCAUGGACAUGCUGAGUUUGAGGCAAGUGAUGUUAUCUUAAAGGUUAUUUGUUUGGAACAAAUAAACACUACAGACUGAAAGCACACUGGAAGAUCACAUGAUGAUCGUUAUUGAUCUUGGAUUUAGAACAAAUCUCCUGAAUAGAAUAAGGACAAGUAUGAUGGUAGAGUUUCUACGAGUUCAGAGUCGAUGAGUAAAAUAGAGGCAAUGUUUGAAGCCGAAUUUGAGAGGUUAGGGCUAAACAGCAGUACUUCUACUUUGGAGCAAAGAUUAACUUGAGAGCUUCCAAACAGUGUUCAUCAAGUUUCUGAAGAUUACAUUUGGGAAAACUCUAAUACUUUACAGGCCAGUGUUUACAUCAGAGGAAGUCAAGUUUUGGCAGCCAUAACAUCAACAACUAGAACUUGCCUGGUGGCUCCAAAUGAUCACAGAAGACUAAGCCUAGACGCUUUACAGAAGAAUGCACCAACUGUGAAGAACAGACUGCUGCUGUUAGAUUUGUAGCACCAUCAAGGUGGAAGCAGCUUCUCAGGAUUAUGCUCAUGUCAAAGCGUCCUAAAAUCCCACCUUCUAGCCCAAGCCACAGGACCAACAAGACACCUAAUUCCUCAAGAGAUUACUAAACACUUCUGUUAUUUGUAUACAGAGAACAGCAUUUCCAACUGAAGUUUGGUUGAAUUUUUUGGCAAACUUCUUCAUGUGUUUCUGAUUUUGUUUGAUGGAUUUGAUUAUUCUUC